rnacentral:rRNA from 1 species
AGCGUACACGGUGGAUGCCCUGGCAGUCAGAGGCGAUGAAGGACGUGCUAAUCUGCGAAAAGCGCCGGCGAGGUGAUAUGAACCCUUGACCCGGCGAUGUCCGAAUGGGGAAACCCAGUGCAAUUCGUUGCACUAUCGUUAACUGAAUACAUAGGUUAACGAGGCGAACCGGGGGAACUGAAACAUCUAAGUACCCCGAGGAAAAGAAAUCAACCGAGAUUCCCCCAGUAGCGGCGAGCGAACGGGGAGCAGCCCAGAGUCUGAAUCAGCUUGUGUGUUAGUGGAAGCGUCUGGAAAGUCGCACGGUACAGGGUGAUAGUCCCGUACACGAAAAUGCACAGGCUGUGAACUCGAAGAGUAGGGCGGGACACGUGGUAUCCUGUCUGAAUAUGGGGGGACCAUCCUCCAAGGCUAAAUACUCCUGACUGACCGAUAGUGAACCAGUACCGUGAGGGAAAGGCGAAAAGAACCCCGGCGAGGGGAGUGAAAAAGAACCUGAAACCGUGUACGUACAAGCAGUGGGAGCACCUUCGGGUGUGACUGCGUACCUUUUGUAUAAUGGGUCAGCGACUUAUAUUCUGUAGCAAGGUUAACCGUAUAGGGGAGCCGAAGGGAAACCGAGUCUUAACUGGGCGUUAAGUUGCAGGGUAUAGACCCGAAACCCGGUGAUCUAGCCAUGGGCAGGUUGAAGGUUGGGUAACACUAACUGGAGGACCGAACCGACUAAUGUUGAAAAAUUAGCGGAUGACCUGUGGCUGGGGGUGAAAGGCCAAUCAAACCGGGAGAUAGCUGGUUCUCCCCGAAAGCUAUUUAGGUAGCGCCUCGUGAACUCAUCUUCGGGGGUAGAGCACUGUUUCGGCUAGGGGGCCAUCCCGGCUUACCAACCCGAUGCAAACUACGAAUACCGAAGAAUGUUAUCACGGGAGACACACGGCGGGUGCUAACGUCCGUCGUGAAGAGGGAAACAACCCAGACCGCCAGCUAAGGUCCCAAAGUCAUGGUUAAGUGGGAAACGAUGUGGGAAGGCCCAGACAGCCAGGAUGUUGGCUUAGAAGCAGCCAUCAUUUAAAGAAAGCGUAAUAGCUCACUGGUCGAGUCGGCCUGCGCGGAAGAUGUAACGGGGCUAAACCAUGCACCGAAGCUGCGGCAGCGACACUAUGUGUUGUUGGGUAGGGGAGCGUUCUGUAAGCCGUUGAAGGUGGUCUGUGAGGGCUGCUGGAGGUAUCAGAAGUGCGAAUGCUGACAUAAGUAACGAUAAAGCGGGUGAAAAGCCCGCUCGCCGGAAGACCAAGGGUUCCUGUCCAACGUUAAUCGGGGCAGGGUGAGUCGACCCCUAAGGCGAGGCCGAAAGGCGUAGUCGAUGGGAAACAGGUUAAUAUUCCUGUACUUGGUGUUACUGCGAAGGGGGGACGGAGAAGGCUAUGUUAGCCGGGCGACGGUUGUCCCGGUUUAAGCAUGUAGGCGGAGGUUCCAGGUAAAUCCGGUACCUUUUAACGCUGAGGUGUGAUGACGAGGCACUACGGUGCUGAAGUAACAAAUGCCCUGCUUCCAGGAAAAGCCUCUAAGCAUCAGGUAACAUCAAAUCGUACCCCAAACCGACACAGGUGGUCAGGUAGAGAAUACCAAGGCGCUUGAGAGAACUCGGGUGAAGGAACUAGGCAAAAUGGUGCCGUAACUUCGGGAGAAGGCACGCUGAUAUGUAGGUGAAGCCCCUGCGGGUGGAGCUGAAAUCAGUCGAAGAUACCAGCUGGCUGCAACUGUUUAUUAAAAACACAGCACUGUGCAAACACGAAAGUGGACGUAUACGGUGUGACGCCUGCCCGGUGCCGGAAGGUUAAUUGAUGGGGUUAGCGGCAACGCGAAGCUCUUGAUCGAAGCCCCGGUAAACGGCGGCCGUAACUAUAACGGUCCUAAGGUAGCGAAAUUCCUUGUCGGGUAAGUUCCGACCUGCACGAAUGGCGUAAUGAUGGCCAGGCUGUCUCCACCCGAGACUCAGUGAAAUUGAACUCGCUGUGAAGAUGCAGUGUACCCGCGGCAAGACGGAAAGACCCCGUGAACCUUUACUAUAGCUUGACACUGAACACUGGUCCUUGAUGUGUAGGAUAGGUGGGAGGCUUUGAAGCGUGGACGCCAGUCUGCGUGGAGC